rnacentral:rRNA from 1 species
UGGGGAAUAUUGGACAAUGGGCGAAAGCCUGAUCCAGCCAUGCCGCGUGUGUGAAGAAGGUCUUCGGAUUGUAAAGCACUUUAAGUUGGGAGGAAGGGCAGUUACCUAAUACGUAUCUGUUUUGACGUUACCGACAGAAUAAGCACCGGCUAACUCUGUGCCAGCAGCCGCGGUAAUACAGAGGGUGCAAGCGUUAAUCGGAAUUACUGGGCGUAAAGCGCGCGUAGGUGGUUUGUUAAGUUGGAUGUGAAAUCCCCGGGCUCAACCUGGGAACUGCAUUCAAAACUGACAAGCUAGAGUAUGGUAGAGGGUGGUGGAAUUUCCUGUGUAGCGGUGAAAUGCGUAGAUAUAGGAAGGAACACCAGUGACGAAGGCGACCACCUGGACUGAUACUGACACUGAGGUGCGAAAGCGUGGGGAGCAAACAGGAUUAGAUACCCGGGUAGUCCCUGAGCGGGCUGGCAAGGCGCAU